GCUAAGUAGGUGAACCUGCGGAGGGCUCAUUACACAAAUAUGAAGGCGGGCUGGAACCUCUCGGGGUUACAGACUUGCUGAAUUAUUCACCCUUGUCUUUUGCGUACUUCUUGUUUCCUUGGUGGGUUCGCCCACCACUAGGACAAACAUAAACCUUUUGUAAUUGCAAUCAGCGUCAGUAACAAAAUAAUCAUUACAACUUUCAACAACGGAUCUCUUGGUUCUGGCAUCGAUGAAGAACGCAGC
rnacentral:misc_RNA from 1 species